rnacentral:rRNA from 1 species
UACGUAGGAGGCAAGCGUUGUCCGGAAUUACUGGGCGUAAAGGGCGUGUAGGCGGUUUGUUAAGUCAUGUGUGAAAUCCCUCGGCUCAACCGGGGAAGGACGCAUGAAACUGGCAAGCUAGAGUACCAAAGAGGGGGGUGGAGUUCCCGGUGUAGCGGUGAAAUGCGUAGAUAUCGGGAGGAACACCUGUGGCGAAGGCGGCCCCCUGGUUGGAUACUGACGCUGAUACGCGAAAGCGUGGGGAGCAAACAGG